rnacentral:rRNA from 1 species
GACUUCUGGUUUAAUGUGCCUGGCCCGCGGUCGCAAGACAUGUGAGUGCCGGUGCGCGUUUACCAUCCUUCCAGGAAACGUGCCUUGCCCUUAACUGGGUGCGGUACGGGAUCUGGAUCAUAGAGUGUUUAAAGCAGGCUUAUGCCAUGAAUACAUUAGCAUGGAAUAAUAAUCUAGGACUUCGGUUCUAUUUUGUUGGUUUGUAUAACUGAAGUAAUGAUUGAUAGGGACAGUUGGGGGUGCUAGCAUUGGCCGGUCAGAGGUGAAAUUCUUGGAUUCGGUCAAGACUAACUUAUGCGAAAGCAUU